GCAGUCGACGGUACGCGGGGCAACCUGGCGACGAGUGGCGAACGGGUGAGUAAUAUAUCGGAACGUGCCCAGUCGUGGGGGAUAACGUAGAGAAAUUUACGCUAAUACCGCAUACGAUCUAAGGAUGAAAGCGGGGGACUCGUAAGAGCCUCGCGCGAUUGGAGCGGCCGAUAUCAGAUUAGGUUGUUGGUGAGGUAAAAGCUUACCAAGCCUGCGAUCUGUAGCUGGUCUGAGAGGACGACCAGCCACACUGGAACUGAGACACGGUCCAGACUCCUACGGGAGGCAGCAGUGGGGAAUUUUGGACAAUGGACGAAAGUCUGAUCCAGCAAUGCCGCGUGCAGGACGAAGGCCUUCGGGUUGUAAACCGCUUUUGUACGGAACGAAACGGUCUUCUUUAAUACAGAGGGCUAAUGACGGUACCGUAAGAAUAAGCACCGGCUAACUACGUGCCAGCAGCCGCGGUAAUACGUAGGGUGCGAGCGUUAAUCGGAAUUACUGGGCGUAAAGCGUGCGCAGGCGGUUAUGCAAGACAGAUGUGAAAUCCCCGGGCUCAACCUGGGAACUGCAUUUGCGACUACAUAGCUAGAGUACGGUAGAGGGGGAUGGAAUUCCGCGUGUAGCAGUGAAAUGCGUAGAUAUGCGGAGGAACACCGAUGGCGAAGGCAAUCCCCUGGACCUGUACUGACGCUCAUGCACGAAAGCGUGGGGAGCAAACAGGAUUAGAUACCCUGGUAGAAUCACUAGUGAAUUC
rnacentral:rRNA from 1 species